GUUGUAUGGUUAAGUGACUAAGCGUACAUGGUGGAUGCCUUGGCAGUCAGAGGCGAUGAAGGACGUACUAACCUGCGAUAAGCUGUGAGAAGUCGGUAAGAGACGCUAUUACUCACAGAUUUCCGAAUGGGGAAACCCACCCGAGAUAACUCGGGUAUCUGUUACUGAAUACAUAGGUAACAGAGGCGAACCGGGAGAACUGAAACAUCUAAGUACCCCGAGGAAAAGAAAUCAACCGAGAUUCCCUCAGUAGCGGCGAGCGAACGGGGAUUAGCCCUUAAGCAUCUUGGAAGUUAGUGGAACGGUCCUGGAAAGGCCGGCGAUACAGGGUGAUAGCCCCGUACACGAAAACAACCUUGAUGUGAAAUCGAGUAGGGCGGGACACGUGACAUCCUGUCUGAAUAUGGGGGGACCAUCCUCCAAGGCUAAAUACUCCUGACUGACCGAUAGUGAACCAGUACCGUGAGGGAAAGGCGAAAAGAACCCCUGUGAGGGGAGUGAAAUAGAACCUGAAACCGUGUACGUACAAGCAGUGGGAGCCCUUCGGGGUGACUGCGUACCUUUUGUAUAAUGGGUCAGCGACUUACAUUUUGUAGCGAGGUUAACCGUAUAGGGGAGCCGUAGGGAAACCGAGUCUUAACUGGGCGUCUAGUUGCAAGGUGUAGACCCGAAACCGGGUGAUCUAGCCAUGGGCAGGUUGAAGGUUGAGUAACAUCAACUGGAGGACCGAACCCACUAACGUUGCAAAGUUAGGGGAUGACCUGUGGCUGGGGGUGAAAGGCCAAUCAAACUCGGAGAUAGCUGGUUCUCCCCGAAAGCUAUUUAGGUAGCGCCUCGGACGAAUACUACUGGGGGUAGAGCACUGUUUGGGCUAGGGGGUCAUCCCGACUUACCAACCCCAUGCAAACUCCGAAUACCAGUAAGUACUAUCCGGGAGACACACGGCGGGUGCUAACGUCCGUCGUGAAGAGGGAAACAACCCAGACCGCCGGCUAAGGUCCCAAAGUUCUGGUUAAGUGGGAAACGAUGUGGGAAGGCUCAGACAGCUAGGAUGUUGGCUUAGAAGCAGCCAUCAUUUAAAGAAAGCGUAAUAGCUCACUAGUCGAGUCGGCCUGCGCGGAAGAUGUAACGGGGCUCAAACCAGGCACCGAAGCCGCGGAUUUGCACUUAGUGCAAGUGGUAGGGGAGCGUUCUGUAAGUCUGCGAAGGUGUAUCGAGAGGUAUGCUGGAGAUAUCAGAAGUGCGAAUGCUGACGUAAGUAACGAUAAAGGGGGUGAAAAGCCUCCUCGCCGGAAGACCAAGGGUUCCUGUCCAACGUUAAUCGGGGCAGGGUGAGUCGACCCCUAAGGCGAGGCCGAAAGGCGUAGUCGAUGGGAAGCAGGUUAAUAUUCCUGCACGACUUGUAAUUGCGAUGGGGGGACGGAGAAGGCUAGGUGGGCCAGGCGACGGUUGUCCUGGUGAAAGUGCGUAGGUGGUGUUUCUAGGCAAAUCCGGAGACACAACACUGAGACACGAGACGAACACACUACGGUGUGGAAGCCAUUGAUGCCCUGCUUCCAGGAAAAGCCUCUAAGCUUCAGAUUACAAGUCAUCGUACCCCAAACCGACACAGGUGGUCGGGUAGAGAAUACCAAGGCGCUUGAGAGAACUCGGGUGAAGGAACUAGGCAAAAUAGAACCGUAACUUCGGGAGAAGGUUCGCUCUUGAUGGUGAAGUCCCUUGCGGAUGGAGCUGUCGGGAGUCGCAGUGACCAGAUGGCUGGGACUGUUUAUCAAAAACACAGCACUCUGCAAACACGAAAGUGGACGUAUAGGGUGUGACACCUGCCCGGUGCCGGAAGGUUAAUUGAUGGGGUUAGCGCAAGCGAAGCUCUUGAUCGAAGCCCCGGUAAACGGCGGCCGUAACUAUAACGGUCCUAAGGUAGCGAAAUUCCUUGUCGGGUAAGUUCCGACCUGCACGAAUGGUGUAACCAUGGCCAUGCUGUCUCCACCCGAGACUCAGUGAAAUCGAAUUCGCCGUGAAGAUGCGGUGUACCCGCGGCUAGACGGAAAGACCCCGUGAACCUUUACUACAGCUUGGCACUGAACAUUGAACCUACAUGUGUAGGAUAGGUGGGAGGCUUUGAAGGCGUGACGCCAGUUGCGCUGGAGCCGUCCUUGAAAUACCACCCUUGUAUGUUUGAUGUUCUAACGCAGGGCCCUGAAUCGGGCUCGCGGACAGUGCCUGGUGGGUAGUUUGACUGGGGCGGUCUCCUCCCAAAGAGUAACGGAGGAGCACGAAGGUUGGCUAAUCCUGGUCGGACAUCAGGAGGUUAGUGCAAUGGCAUAAGCCAGCUUAACUGCGAGACGGACAGGUCGAGCAGGUACGAAAGUAGGUCAUAGUGAUCCGGUGGUUCUGAAUGGAAGGGCCAUCGCUCAACGGAUAAAAGGUACUCCGGGGAUAACAGGCUGAUACCGCCCAAGAGUUCAUAUCGACGGCGGUGUUUGGCACCUCGAUGUCGGCUCAUCACAUCCUGGGGCUGAAGUCGGUCCCAAGGGUAUGGCUGUUCGCCAUUUAAAGUGGUACGCGAGCUGGGUUCAGAACGUCGUGAGACAGUUCGGUCCCUAUCUGCCGUGGGCGUUGGAUGAUUGAAGGGAGUUGCUCCUAGUACGAGAGGACCGGAGUGAACGAACCUCUGGUGUUCGGGUUGUCACGCCAGUGGCACUGCCCGGUAGCUAAGUUCGGAAUCGAUAACCGCUGAAAGCAUCUAAGCGGGAAGCGAGCCCUGAGAUGAGUCAUCCCUGACCCCUUGAGGGUCCUAAAGGGCCGUUGGAGACCACAACGUUGAUAGGUGGGGUGUGUAAGCGCGGCGACGUGUUGAGCUAACCCAUACUAAUUACCCGUGAGGCUUAACCAUACAACACCCAAGAAGUGUUCU
rnacentral:rRNA from 1 species